CAGUUAUUGUCGUUGUCCAGUGGUCAUUUGACCAUCACUAAUGGUGACUCAACCAGAAGUUGUCUGUUUUGUUUUGCAGUAUGAAUGUCAUGUUAUCGCCCAGAAAGUAUUCUAACCCCAAGGGUUUAACUCACUUCUCUCGCAUCUUUAGUUAGAACUUCCAGUUUUCAGGAAAUACAGAGGACAGAGGAUCAAGAAAAGGGCAUCCUAAGGAACUGGUGAUUCUGGUGCACGCAAAGUUUGGAGAGUCCCACACUAGAGCGAUGCUUAAUAAACCUGCGCUGUUUCCAAUGGUAACCAGGGGUGAAUAUGAAGAAAGCCAGACCUCAGGAUGGAAAAGCAAUAACCAGGCCUGCAUGUCUCCCUGGAGAUAAACAGCAACUUGAGACUAGACUGCAAUUGGCACCAUCAAGACCAGUGAGCCCAGACAGGCAUUAGGCACACAGGCAUAAUGCUUACAACAUGGCAGAGAAGCUCAGUGAAUCUGUGUUGAAUGAAGGUCCCCUUGCAGAAAUAUCAGUAUUGAAUACAACAUUGUACUUAAAAAUGAGUAAAUUAGAGCUACGUGUAUUAACAUGGAUAAGUCUCAAAAGUAUACAUUUAAAACAGCAAGUGUAAUGGUUAGGAUUCUCUAGAGGAAC
rnacentral:lncRNA from 1 species